rnacentral:rRNA from 1 species
AUGGGGGCGUGCGAUGACAAUUUCCUGCGUGCUUGGUUGGCUAUUGCAUUCUCCUGCUUCCUUGCCCCAACCACAAGCUUGAGCAUCUCACCAAGGUGUUACAUUGCUAUUCUUCACACAAGUGCUGUAAAAGACGCCAAGAUAUGCGACUUUGUUAUUGAUCAACUAAGAUUGGCAUUCAUGGGUUUUGGUGACAAGAAGAAGGUUGUUUGCUGCUGUGUUUUCCAUCUAGUUAUUUUGUAUUUGGAUUCAUUGGAUGUUGAUGAACCAAUACCUGCUACACUUACAAGGGCAAGCAUCUGGAAUGAUGAUCUAAUAACCAAAGUCAUGAAGAAAGACAGGAAGGGUCCAGGAGUGUAUGGCAAGCUGUGUAAGCAAAAAUAG